CACGGGGGUUGCGAGCGUUGUCCGGAAUUACUAGGCGUAAAGGGCAGGUAGGCGGAUCUACGAGUUUUUUGUUAAAGGCUACGGCUUAACUGUAGUAAGGCAGGAGAUACUGUAGGUCUGGAAUGCGGUAGGGGAAGACAGAAUUCCUGGUGUAGCGGUGGAAUGCGCAGAGAUCAGGAGGAAUACCGAAGGCGAAGGCAGUCUUCUAGGCCGUAAUUGACGCUUAACUGCGAAGGUGGGGGGAUCAAACAGGAUUAGAUACCCUGGUAGUCCACACAGUAAACGAGAAUCACUAGAUGUCGGAUUCUAGAUGGAUUCGGUGUCGGAGCUAACGCGAUAAGUUAUCCACCUGGGGAGUACGACCGCAAGGUUGAA
rnacentral:rRNA from 1 species